rnacentral:rRNA from 1 species
GACGAACGCUGGCGGCGUGCCUAACACAUGCAAGUCGAACGGGACUUAGUGGAAAGCGGCUUCGGCCAAUGGAAGCUAAGUUUAGUGGCGAACGGGUGAGUAACGCGUGAGGAACCUGCCUUUCAGUGGGGGACAACAGUUGGAAACGACUGCUAAUACCGCAUAACAUAUCGAGACCGCAUGGUUUUGAUAUCAAAGCUUUAUGUGCUGAAAGAUGGCCUCGCGUCUGAUUAGCUAGUUGGAGGGGUAACGGCCCACCAAGGCGACGAUCAGUAGCCGGUCUGAGAGGAUGAACGGCCACAUUGGGACUGAGAUACGGCCCAGACUCCUACGGGAGGCAGCAGUGGGGAAUAUUGCACAAUGGGGGGAAACCCUGAUGCAGCGACGCCGCGUGAGUGAAGAAGUAUUUCGGUAUGUAAAGCUCUAUCAGCAAGGAAGAAAAUGACGGUACUUGACUAAGAAGCCCCGGNUAACUACGUGCCAGCAGCCG